rnacentral:rRNA from 1 species
CUGGCUCAGGACGAACGCUGGCGGCGUGCCUAAUACAUGCAAGUAGAACGCUGAAGACUUUAGCUUGCUAAA